rnacentral:rRNA from 1 species
UGCUGUCACUUACAGAUGGACCCGCGGCGCAUUAGCUAGUUGGUGAGGUAACGGCUCACCAAGGCAACGAUGCGUAGCCGACCUGAGAGGGUGAUCGGCCACACUGGGACUGAGACACGGCCCAGACUCCUACGGGAGGCAGCAGUAGGGAAUCUUCCGCAAUGGACGAAAGUCUGACGGAGCAACGCCGCGUGAACGAUGAAGGCCUUCGGGUCGUAAAGUUCUGUUGUUAGGGAAGAACAAGUACUAGAGUAACUGCUAGUACCUUGACGGUACCUAACCAGAAAGCCACGGCUAACUACGUGCCAGCAGCCGCGGUAAUACGUAGGUGGCAAGCGUUGUCCGGAAUUAUUGGGCGUAAAGCGCGCGCAGGUGGUUCCUUAAGUCUGAUGUGAAAGCCCACGGCUCAACCGUGGAGGGUCAUUGGAAACUGGGGAACUUGAGUGCAGAAGAGGAAAGUGGAAUUCCAAGUGUAGCGGUGAA